rnacentral:rRNA from 1 species
GACGAACGCUGGCGGCGCGCCUAACACAUGCAAGUCGAACGAGCGAGCGAGAGCUUGCUUUCUUGAGCGAGUGGCGAACGGGUGAGUAACGCGUGAGGAACCUGCCUCAAAGAGGGGGACAACAGUUGGAAACGACUGCUAAUACCGCAUAAGCCAACGGUGCCGCAUGGCACAGAGGGAAAAGGAGCAAUCCGCUUUGAGAUGGCCUCGCGUCCGAUUAGCUAGUUGGUGAGGUAACGGCCCACCAAGGCGACGAUAGGUAGCCGGACUGAGAGGUUGAACGGCCACAUUGGGACUGAGACACGGCCCAGACUCCUACGGGAGGCAGCAGUGGGGAAUAUUGCACAAUGGGGGAAACCCUGAUGCAGCGACGCCGCGUGGAGGAAGAAGGUCUUCGGAUUGUAAACUCCUGUUGUUGGGGAAGAUAAUGACGGUACCCAACAAGGAAGUGACGGCUAACUACGUG